UACGGGGGGAGCAAGCGUUGUUCGGAUUUACUGGCGUAAAGGGCGCGUAGGCGGCUUAACAAGUCACUUGUGAAAUCUCCGGGCUUAACUCGGAACGGCCAAGUGAAACUGUCAAGCUAGAGUGCGGAAGGGGCAAUCGGAAUUCUUGGUGUAGCGGUGAAAUGCGUAGAUAUCAAGAGGAACACCUGAGGUGAAGACGGGUUGCUGGGCCGACACUGACGCUGAUGCGCGAAAGCCAGGGAGCAAACGGG
rnacentral:rRNA from 1 species